rnacentral:lncRNA from 1 species
GGUUUGUACCGCAGCAUCCAACUGUUCAUAUUGGGACCUUCCUGAACAAGGCAACCUGUAAACAACUGCACAGUGAUCAUCCUGCUGCCACCUUCUACCUUCAGUUCUGAAAUUAAAAAGCUGUAAAAUGAAUAUCCAGAAAGGCACAGAAUCUAAGACACGGCUCCUUUCAAUUAAGGGUAGCCUGGGACUUUAAAAAAUGUGAUCCAUCAUAACACAGCCCAAGAAGAGCUGAGCGCUUUCUCCUCCUUGCCUCUGUCUGUGAGUGUGUGCAUACGACGCUCCUGAUGAGGAAGGCUAAGAACUUGGAAGCCUGUUGGCUUAUGCAGUAGACCCAUCUGUGCGGGGCUUGUCUUUCUCAGUGACCUUGGAUCCUGAGAUGAUAAGGUCAAGUAAGGAAGAAAAACCAAAGUUCUCCAGACAUGGCUGUGCCUCGUUUGUUUGCGCUUGCUUUUGUUUAGGUUUUCC